GACGGAAGGUGCAAGCGUUGCUCGGAAUCACUGGGCGUAAAGGGUGCGUAGGCGGCCGUGCAAGUCUGGCGUGAAAGCCCCGGGCUCAGCCCGGGAAGUGCGCUCGAAACUGCGCGGCUCGAGUGCCGGAGGGGAGAGUGGAAUUCCUGGUGUAGCGGUGAAAUGCGCAGAUAUCAGGAAGAACACCAAUGGCGAAGGCAGCUCUCUGGGACGGUACUGACGCUGAGACGCGAAAGCGUGGGGAGCGAACAGG
rnacentral:rRNA from 1 species